GGACUAGAUAGCACAUCUCACUGUCAUCUAUUAAUCAGUUGAUCUAGUGAACACAAAUUCUUUAGGUUCCUUCAUGUCACUCCAUCUUCUUUUUGCAUUUCUGUAUUUUCCUCCUUGUUAAAAGUUCUCUAUCUUCCAUGGGUUUUGAUUUCUGCUGUCCUAUGAGGGUGAGGAUAGGAAAUGGGGAGAACUUGACUUUCACUAGGAACCUUGAAACAUCCUUACAGUGACAACUGGGUGUGUGGGUAGAGAGAGAAUAGAGUACACUGCUUGUCCUUGAUGAAUUAAGGCUUAGAACUGUAAACCCUUAUGGGGUUUGAAUAAAGUGUUUUCUGGCUAAGGC
rnacentral:lncRNA from 1 species